UACAGAGGUCUCAAGCGUUGUUCGGAUUCAUUGGGCGUAAAGGGUGCGUAGGUGGCGCUGUAAGUCGGGUGUGAAAUUUCGGAGCUCAACCCCGAGCGGUCGUGAGAAACUGGCAGGCUAGAGUGCGGGAGAGGAGAGUGGAAUUCCUGGUGUAGCGGUGAAAUGCGCAGAUAUCAGGAAGAACACCCGUGGCGAAGGCGGCUCUCUGGAACGCAACUGACGCUGAGACGCGAAAGCGUGGGGAGCAAACAGG
rnacentral:rRNA from 1 species